rnacentral:rRNA from 1 species
AACGACGCUGGCGGCAGGCUUAACACAUGCAAGUCGAGCGCCCCGCAAGGGGAGCGGCAGACGGGUGAGUAACGCGUGGGAAUCUACCCAUCACUACGGAACAACUCUGGGAAACUGGAGCUAAUACCGUAUGCGUCCUUCGGGAGAAAGAUUUAUCGGUGAUGGAUGAGCCCGCGUUGGAUUAGCUAGUUGGUGGGGUAAUGGCCUACCAAGGCAACGAUCCAUAGCUGGUCUGAGAGGAUGAUCAGCCACACUGGGACUGAGACACGGCCCAGACUCCUACGGGAGGCAGCAGUGGGGAAUAUUGGACAAUGGGCGAAAGCCUGAUCCAGCCAUGCCGCGUGAGUGAUGAAGGCCCUAGGGUUGUAAAGCUCUUUCACCGGUGAAGAUAAUGACGGUAACCGGAGAAGAAGCCCCGGCUAACUUCGUG